GCCCACUUCUUGUCAAAUCCAAGAAGGAAGGGACCUGCUGGCCAAACCCUUUUUUCCCACUGGACCUCAGACCCCAAGGAACUUGGAGUCUGCUCAAGUGAGUGAGUUGGGGCUCUUCGCCCUCCCAGAACUGGCUGUUGAUGGAAGAAACCCCUGCGUAGGAAGGAUGGUAAGAAAAUCCAAGGAGCUGCCUGUUCUAUUGGGAAAAUAAAAGGUCUGCUGUGAACCAGCAUUCUUGGGAAGCUCCCUGUAAACUCUUAUAGGGAAGCUCUGAGCCUUUUCACCUAAGCUGAUCCAGGAGGGAGGAGGGAAGAAGAAAGCAUAAAAUAACUUGGCAAAAGAAGUUGUAUUUCCCAGCGCUUUGCUCACCCAUCUCCACACAGAUGCUGGAGCCUUCAGCACCCUCCCAGCCCUAUACUCGGGGUCGAUCCUGACUCAAUCCUUUGUUCAUAAUGUGCUGUCAUCACCCCCAGCCCUUGUCACCAUUUGCAAAGUUUCCCUUCCUUCCCUCUCUUUGUCUAGGUCCCACACAUCCUUUUAGAUCUGAUUCAAAUCCCACGACUUCCAUGAAGAUGUGUUCCACUUACUCUGAUUUCUCUCUUCUUGGAACUCCUGUCACCCUGGAUUCAUGGAACUCUCCUGCUAUCAUGUGAAGCAGCAUGGACUAGCCUACAGAGGAUGAGGCCUCAUGGAGCAGACAAGCUGUCUCAGUUGAGGCCCUCAAAACCAAUCAAGCUCCAGCUGAACUGCCAGGUGACUGUAGCUGCAUGAGUGACCCCAGGCAAGAUGAGCAGAAGAGGCCCCAACUGAGCCCAACCCAAAUAGCUGACUCAUGGAAUCAUGAGCAAAUAAAAUGGUUGUUUUAAGCCACUAAGUUUUUAGAUGGUUUGUUACCCAGCAAUACAUAAUUGGUUUAUCAGAUAUCACAGCUAUUUUAUAGAUGAAGAAACUGACUCUCCAAGAAUUUGAUUGACUUGCACAUCAGGACAAGGACUGGGAUGGAAAGAGAAAGCCA
rnacentral:lncRNA from 1 species